GAAUUAAAUAUCACAAGAGUAGCUCCUGCCCAUGACGAAUCAUUUUCAAUAGAAAAAAGAACUCAUUUAAUGAUGCAUGUUUAGUUCACCGAUCUUAAUCUCUGCAGUUCAGUGAGCAAUCUUAAAGUUUCCAUGCUUAAUUGAAACUUUGCCCUCUUGCAGGUUUCAGUAUUCUAAUUCAGAUGAUUCUGAAGAUUGCAGGUUGCAGCAAUCUGAAUUAUAUCACUAUGACUAUCACUAAUGUAAAAAGUCCUCCUUUUCCUCUCCCAAAUGCUACUCCAUUAGUUACCCAGUUCAAUAAAUAAUCCCCACAAAAAUUAGCAAAGAAAUGAACAAAAGGAGCUUAUCAAAAUAAAUAAACAGAAGGUAAAACUUGGGUUGAU
rnacentral:misc_RNA from 1 species